rnacentral:rRNA from 1 species
GACGAACGCUGGCGGCAUGCCUAAUACAUGCAAGUCGAGCGGACUUGAUGGUGAAGCUUGCUUCUUCUGAAGGUUAGCGGCGGACGGGUGAGUAACACGUAGGCAACCUGCCUUUCAGUUUGGGAUAACUUCCGGAAACGGAUGCUAAUACCGAAUACAUCAUCUUCUGGCAUCAGAGGAUGAGGAAAGACGGCGCAAGCUGUCACUGAGAGAUGGGCCUGCGGCGCAUUAGCUAGUUGGUGGGGUAAUGGCUCACCAAGGCGACGAUGCGGAGCCGACCUGAGGGGGUGAACGGCCACACUGGGACUGAGACACGGCCCAGACUCCUACGGGAGGCAGCAGUAGGGAAUCUUCCACAAUGGGCGAAAGCCUGAUGGAGCAAUGCCGCGUGAGUGAUGAAGGUUUUCGGAUCGUAAAGCUCUGUUGCCAGGGAAGAACGUCCAGGUGAGUAACUGCACCUGGAGAGACGGUACCUGAGAAGAAAGCCCCGGCUAACUACGUGCCAGCCGCCGCGGUAAAAC